rnacentral:lncRNA from 10 species
AUUUAAUAAAUGUUUAAUAAAAUAAACUGAAGGGGAAAAACUGCAAACUGCAUAUCAGAAGACUCUGAUUCUAAAAAUAGUGCUUUGGAAGAGAGAACCUGUGAGGAGAAGAUCUGCUCUCUUUAUUUAUAAGAGAUUGAUCUAUAGCUGAUUUAAAAGCUGUGUGAUUGUCAUUAGCAUAUUUUCCUUUAACAUAUAUCUGAACAAAUGUCUAUUGAAUUAUUUAAAGAAAUGGUACACACUAAGUCAUUUUUAAGAGCAUUGGCCUAAUGUUUUUCUAUUGUUAGGGAAGAUUGCAUGAUUCACAUUAAUAAUUUUCCUUUUUUUGGCAUCAUAAAGACAAUUCACACCAUUUAAAAUUGCACUUCUGAAUUUACUCCACAAUAUCAAAGUUUAAUCAGUACAGUCCAAAAGAUCUAUACAGAGGUAUGAUUCUUAAAAAAUUAUAAUUGAGUUGUACAGAGCCAGUGCUCAGGGAAUGCCACUGACAGGAAUUCCCGACAGCUCCAGUCAUUGUGUGUGCUUCUUGGGCAUGGGUUCAGGUCUGUGCGUACUCGGUGUUGUUAUAAAGGUAGUCCAAGAGUGGAGGAUUGGGAAAAGGGGAAGGAAUAUUCAGAAUUGGAGACAUCUUGCUUUACACAUUCCACAUAAAUUACCUGAGGCACACAUCCAAAAUAUCCUGAGAAUUAGAUACAGCCAUUUCCAGUUUGGAAGAAGGACAGAAUAAUAGAGAACCUUCUGGAACUUAUUCAGAAAAUCAAAGGAGUUCAUAAAGCAAGAUUAGUGACAGAGGCAAGAGCUGAACUGAAGUACCUUGACUUAUUCCAGCACUAGGAUUUAAAGCAGCAGCUAAAAUCCCAUCUGUCUGAUCCAGGAGACUUGAACGCUUGGGCACUGUGGCUGGGAAUAGGGGAAAAAGUCUCCAUCCCAUUGCCCACACACUGUGCAAUCCUGAAAUCUUUGUUUUCUACAGCUCCCUCUAGCUAGUAUCAGUUUCCACAUCGGGGUGGGUUUAGAAGCAAAAUAACUUUCUAUCUUGCCAUCAGCCUUGUGCCUCUGAAUUCUGCACACAGAAUUUCUUCCACAAUGGGUAGAACCUUUUGAACACUAAUGGAAGAAAGGAAACAAAACGUAUGUUGAAAGACAAGGUAUUUAAGAAAUUAAAACAAAAUGCUCAUUUACUGUUUUUAAUAUGUAGUCAAAUAUGACAGCAGUCUUACACAAAUAGCUCCCUCCUCCCCCUUCUAAAAUCCCAAAUUUGUUGACUCCUACUGUAAGUGAAAAACAUGGUUUGCUUCUGAAAAUAGCAAUCAACAGCAAAAACACAGGUAACAUUUGGUCCCCACCAGCUUCCACACCUUUAAAGAUAAAUUGUGUCACUGAGGCAGUCAAUACACUAAAUUUCUUAUCAAACUAUUACUAGGGGAAAAAAAUCAGAUUUCCCACACACUGUAAGCAGAACCGAAAGAGCUGCAGAGAAACUUGGUUUAAGAAGCUGUGUGAAGAAAACAUUAAUGACUUAUUGCAAUUGUAAUAAUCCCCAGGUAAAAGAUGGAUGUCAAAUUAAUGGACUGUAAGGAAAUACAUUCAAACUUAGGUCAUUAAUAUUACAGUGAACAUAAUCAGGAAGCUUGCAGAAGCAAUCGAUAUCUCCAUUUAAGGAGCUUUCUGCAUCCACUUUAUUUAGCCAGAGAGGGAAGGGGUUGACAUAAACGAAAAAGUGGAUCAAAUAGUCAAGAACAUGAUGGGCGCGGCAAUGAACUGAACCACUUUUGCUAAGUGACAGAAAAAUAUUCUAAUAUUAAGGAUUAUUUUACAACUCUAUGGAAGUAAUGCAGUGAUGCAUCUUGCAUCUGUUUUGCCUUGAUGACAAAACGCACUCUUAGAGUCACAAGAUCCUGCCUUGUGUUAGUUAUAAACAAAAAUAUAUUUAUAUAUAUAUAUUUAUGUAACUACUAUGUGCUUUAAAGAAAAUUACUGUAUGAUUCAGCAGGGUUUUUUCAUUCUUUCUAUCGCCAUGCUGACGUGAAUGGCUUCUUAGACAGGAAUCAGCAAUGAAAUGGGUGUUUAGUACUGAAAAGGCAUAAAAUUAAAAAUAAUCAUAUGUUUAAAAUCCCUUAACAUUUUUGUUUCAAAAAUGAUUAAGGAACUCUUCAUACUGUUUCCUUUUGUUUCCAUCAGCCCAGAGCAACUGUGGUUUCAUGGGACUUAACAGUUGGGGAUUGGAGGUAAGGCUUCCAUAAAGCAUAAAUCAGAUGUUUUCAUGCUGAGGCAGGAAAACAGAAAGCCCCGUUUGCCACCCCCUCUUCCCAAAUCCUUAGUUAAUUGUUCGGAAAUUUUGUCACAGCUCAUAGAAAGGUCAUUCAUUACAAAGGAAGAGGCAGACAUGGUUUGAACCUCCUGUACGGAUAAAAAGAUUCGUUCUGUAAAGUGAUGAACUUGUUGGUACAGAUGGAUCUAGACCAGAAAAACAACAUCCUUUUGCCACACAUCUGUUUUGAAAAUGUAGAAAAUCUCUUAUUUUGUGUUUGUUCUCACUCUUGCAUGGGCUGUUUUUCUUAGCAAUCUUGAGACAUUCAUCAUUGCUCUUUUGAGUGAAAG